CAGGAAAACGAGUAUGUUUUCCUGGCACUAUAGUGGUCCUUUAAGUAGCAUUAACCUCCUGGCAAUCCCUUUACAUCAUGGAUGGUGUUGGCAAAUAAUGUGUCAUUAAAGGACCACUAUAGUGCCAGGAAAACAUACUCGUUUUCCUGGCACUAU